GACGAACGCUGGCGGCGUGCUUAACACAUGCAAGUCGAACGGAAAGGCCCUGCUUUUGUGGGGUGCUCGAGUGGCGAACGGGUGAGUAACACGUGAGUAACCUGCCCUUGACUUUGGGAUAACUUCAGGAAACUGGGGCUAAUACCGGGUAGGAGCCCCUGCUGCAUGGUGGGGGUUGGAAAGUUUCGGCGGUUGGGGAUGGACUCGCGGCUUAUCAGCUUGUUGGUGGGGUAGUGGCUUACCAAGGCUUUGACGGGUAGCCGGCCUGAGAGGGUGACCGGCCACAUUGGGACUGAGAUACGGCCCAGACUCCUACGGGAGGCAGCAGUGGGGAAUAUUGCACAAUGGGCGGAAGCCUGAUGCAGCAACGCCGCGUGCGGGAUGACGGCCCUCGGGUUGUAAACCGCUUUCGCCUGUGACGAAGCGUGAGUGACGGUAAUGGGUAAAGAAGCACCGGCUAACUACGUG
rnacentral:rRNA from 1 species